AACGAACGCUGGCGGCAUGCCUAACACAUGCCAGUCGAACGAGACCUUCGGGUCUAGUGGCGCACGGGUGCGUAACGCGUGGGAACCUGCCCUUAGGUUCGGUAUCACUCCCCUUAAGGUGUGCUAAUACCGGUUAAUGUCUUCGGACCAAAGAUUUAUCGCCUUUGGGUGGGCGCGCGUUGGUUUAGCUAGUUGGUAGGGUAAAAGCCUGCCAACGCGAGGAUCCAUAGCUGGUCGGUGAGGAGGGUAAGCAACACUGGGACUGCGACACGGCCCAGACUGGCACGGGAGGGAGCAGUGGGGAAUAUUGGAGAAGGGGGGAAAGCCUGAUAAAGCAAUGCCGCGUGAGUGAUGAAGGGGUUAGGGUUGUAAAGCUGUUUUACACGGGAUGAUAAUGACAGUAACGGGAGAAUAAGCACCGGCUAACUCCGUG
rnacentral:rRNA from 1 species